rnacentral:rRNA from 1 species
UACGUAGGCAGCGAGCGUUGUUCGGAGUUACUGGGCGUAAAGAGUGCGUAGGCGGUGCUCCAAGUCUGGUGUGAAAAUCUCCCGGCUUAACCGGGAGGUGCGCCGGAAACUGGGGUGCUGGAGUGUGGGAGAGGUAAGCGGAAUUCCCGGUGUGAGCGGUGAAAUGCGUAGAUAUCGGGAGGAACACCUGCGGUGUAGACGGCUUACUGGACCGACUAACUGACGCUGAGGCACGAAAGCGUGGGUAGCAAACAGG